rnacentral:rRNA from 1 species
GUAGCUUGCUUCUCGGUGUCGAGCGGCGGACGGGAGAGUAAUACUUAGGAAUCUACCUAGUAGUGGGGGAUAGCACGGGGAAACUCGUAUUAAUACCGCAUACGACCUACGGGAGAAAGGGGGCAGUUUACUGCUCUCGCUAUUAGAUGAGCCUAAGUCGGAUUAGCUAGAUGGUGGGGUAAAGGCCUACCAUGGCGACGAUCUGUAGCUGGUCUGAGAGGAUGAUCAGCCACACCGGGACUGAGACACGGCCCGGACUCCUACGGGAGGCAGCAGUGGGGAAUAUUGGACAAUGGGGGAAACCCUGAUCCAGCCAUGCCGCGUGUGUGAAGAAGGCCUUUUGGUUGUAAAGCACUUUAAGCAGUGAAGAAGACUCCUUGGUUAAUACCCAUGGACGAUGACAUUAGCUGCAGAAUAAGCACCGGCUAACUCUGUGCCAGCAGCCGCGGUAAUACAGAGGGUGCAAGCGUUAAUCGGAAUUACUGGGCGUAAAGGGAGCGUAGGUGGCUCUAUAAGUCAGAUGUGAAAUCCCCGGGCUUAACCUGGGAACUGCAUCUGAAACUGUAAAGCUAGAGUAUGUGAGAGGAAGGUAGAAUUCCAGGUGUAGCGGUGAAAUGCGUAGAGAUCUGGAGGAAUACCGAUGGCGAAGGCAGCCUUCUGGCAUAAUACUGACACUGAGGCUCGAAAGCGUGGGUAGCAAACAGGAUUAGAUACCCUGGUAGUCCACGCCGUAAACGAUGUCUACUAGUCGUUGGGUCCCUUGAGGACUUAGUGACGCAGCUAACGCAAUAAGUAGACCGCCUGGGGAGUACGGCCGCAAGGUUAAAACUCAAAUGAAUUGACGGGGGCCCGCACAAGCGGUGGAGCAUGUGGUUUAAUUCGAUGCAACGCGAAGAACCUUACCUGGUCUUGACAUAUCUAGAAUCCUGCAGAGAUGCGGGAGUGCCUUCGGGAAUUAGAAUACAGGUGCUGCAUGGCUGUCGUCAGCUCGUGUCGUGAAAUGUUGGGUUAAGUCCCGCAACGAGCGCAACCCUUGUCCUUAGUUACCAGCGGGUUAAGCCGGGAACUCUAAGGAUACUGCCAGUGACAAACUGGAGGAAGGCGGGAACGACUUCAAGUCAUCAGGGCCCUUACGACCAGGGCUACCACGUGCUACAUGGUAGGUACGAAGGGCAGUUACCCGCGAUUGGAUGCGAUUCCAAAAGCCUAUCGGAUUCCGAAUGGGAGUUCGCACUCCAUUCCUGAAAUGGGAUCCCUAGAAUCCCGGAUCCAAUGCCCGGGGAAACUUUCCCGGCCUUGUAACCCCGCCCUCCCCCUGGGGAUUGUUGCCCAAAGGGUAUUUUAACUCCGGGAG